ACCAAGAAAAACCCAAAAGGAAUAGCCAGACGCUUAGUUUCCUUCCCCUCUUCUCUUUCCCUUUGCUCGUUCUAUGCACGCAGGAUCGGAAUUUUGUUGGCCGCGCGUGACGGACGUCUCCCUCUCCUGCACCAGUACGGCGGUUUUACUCCGAGCCUGAGUUAUUAGUUGUCGGUAAAUUUGGUCGUAGAAUGAUAAUGUUACCUAGAAGCAUAGCCUUUAGAGCCCCGUAGCUGCCGAGGUGGGCCCCCGGCAUGUGGACUGAUCUUGUUACAGGACCUGAAAGAGAAUCAGGAGUUGACUAACUAGACACAGUUAACUAAGCGACGAUGCGACAUCAAUGUUAAUAUAGUAGUUAACGUAAAUGACUAUUUGUACGAUGAAAUUGCAUCUUCAGUUUUUUUUGGAUCAUUAGCAUUUUGGACUAGUGUUGUGAUCUUAAUUGUUCAAUGGAUCCUUAUAUAUGAAAUAUGUUUUAAGCAUU